AACGAACGCUGGCGGCAUGCCUAACACAUGCAAGUCGAACGAGAUCUUCGGGUCUAGUGGCGCACGGGUGCGUAAUGCGUGGGAACCUGCCCUUUGGUUCGGAAUAACAGUUGGAAACGACUGCUAAUACCGGAUGAUGACGAAAGUCCAAAGAUUUAUCGCCAGAGGAUGAGCCCGCGUAGGAUUAGCUAGUUGGUGUGGUAAAGGCGCACCAAGGCGACGAUCCUUAGCUGGUCUGAGAGGAUGAUCAGCCACACUGGGACUGAGACACGGCCCAGACUCCUACGGGAGGCAGCAGUGGGGAAUAUUGGACAAUGGGCGAAAGCCUGAUCCAGCAAUGCCGCGUGAGUGAUGAAGGCCUUAGGGUUGUAAAGCUCUUUUACCCGGGAUGAUAAUGACAGUACCGGGAGAAUAAGCUCCGGCUAACUCCGUGCCAGCAGCCGCGGUAA
rnacentral:rRNA from 1 species